AACGAACGCUGGCGGCAGGCCUAACACAUGCAAGUCGAGCGAAGCCUUCGGGCUUAGCGGCGGACGGGUGAGUAACGCGUGGGAACGUGCCCUUUGGUACGGAAUAGCCCCGGGAAACUGGGAGUAAUACCGUAUGUGGUCGAGAGACGAAAGAUUUAUCGCCAAAGGAUCGGCCCGCGUUGGAUUAGGUAGUUGGUGGGGUAAUGGCCUACCAAGCCGACGAUCCAUAGCUGGUUUGAGAGGAUGAUCAGCCACACUGGGACUGGGACACGGCCCAGACUCCUACGGGAGGCAGCAGUGGGGAAUUUUAGACAAUGGGGGAAACCCUGAUCUAGCCAUGCCGCGUGAUCGAUGAAGGCCUUAGGGUUGUAAAGAUCUUCCAGUGGGGAAGAUAAUGACUGUACCCACAGAAGAAGCCCCGGCUAACUCCGUGCCAGCCGCCGCCGUAACAC
rnacentral:rRNA from 1 species